UUUGAUGGAAAGGCAAUCGCUUAUACACAAUUUAAUGUUGUUAUAAGAGGAAAGUCCGAACUCCAUAGAACAUUAUGCUUCCUAACAGGAAGACCACACCUAACCGUUGUGGAUGGAAAGUGCAACAGAAAAUAUACCGCAACAUAAUCGUAGUUUAAUGCAUUAUGCUGUAAGGGUGAAAUGGUGGUGUAAGAGACCACCGCAUAGUUGGCGACAACUAUGGCAGUGCAAACCCCAUAAGGAGCAAAACCAAGCAAGAUAUGUGGCACUUUGGCUAAUGCUUUGUUCGAGCAAGUAUCUGGGUAGGUUGCUAUAGUUUAUUGGCAACAAUAAAUACAGAUAAAUGAUUGCCUCUAUUAUCCUCAGGUAAUAAAGACAGAAUUCGGCUUAUUAUUCGUCAUCAGUA
rnacentral:RNase_P_RNA from 1 species